rnacentral:rRNA from 2 species
GACGAACGCUGGCGGCGUGCCUAAUGCAUGCAAGUCGAACGCAGCGGCCGUAGGCCGGCUGCGUGGCGAACGGCUGAGGAACACGUGGGUGACCACCCCCGGAGUGGGGGAUACCCCGUCGAAAGACGGGACAAUCCCGCAUACGCUCUACGGAGGAAAGCCUGCAAGGCGCUCCGGGACGGGCCUGCGGCCCAUCAGGUAGUUGGUGUGGUAACGGCGCACCAAGCCAGUGACGGGUACCCGGUCUGAGAGGACGGCCGGGCAGACUGGGACUGCGACACGGCCCAGACUCCUACGGGAGGCAGUAGCAAGGAAUUUUCCCCAAUGGGCACACGCCUGAGGGAGCAACGCCGCUUGGAGGACGACGGCCUUCGGGUUGUAAACUCCUUUCGGGUGGGACGAGCAUGACGGUACCACCAGAAGCAGCCCCGGCUAACUAUGUGCCAUCAGCCGCGGUAAGACAUAAGGGGCAAGCGUUGUCCUGAGUUACUGGGCGUAAAGGGC